AUGCUGAAAUGGAAAACAGGCUCUAUUUAGGCUGGAGUGGCGGAAGCUUUGCAAGUUCAAGUCUUGUUAUCUGUA
rnacentral:tRNA from 1 species